GGGUUGUGAGGUUAAGCGACUAAGCGUACACGGUGGAUGCCCUGGCAGUCAGAGGCGAUGAAGGGCGUGCUAAUCUGCGAUAAGCGCCGGUAAGGUGAUAUGAACCGUUAUAACCGGCGAUACCCGAAUGGGGAAACCCAGUGUGAUUCGUCACACUAUCAUUAACUGAAUCCAUAGGUUAAUGAGGCGAACCGGGGGAACUGAAACAUCUAAGUACCCCGAGGAAAAGAAAUCAACCGAGAUUCCCCCAGUAGCGGCGAGCGAACGGGGAGGAGCCCAGAGCCUGAAUCAGCAUGUGUGUUAGUGGAAGCGUCUGGAAAGGCGCGCGAUACAGGGUGACAGCCCCGUACACAAAAGCGCAUGUGCUGUGAGCUCGAUGAGUAGGGCGGGACACGUGGUAUCCUGUCUGAAUAUGGGGGGACCAUCCUCCAAGGCUAAAUACUCCUGACUGACCGAUAGUGAACCAGUACCGUGAGGGAAAGGCGAAAAGAACCCCGGCGAGGGGAGUGAAAAAGAACCUGAAACCGUGUACGUACAAGCAGUGGGAGCACCCUUCGGGGUGUGACUGCGUACCUUUUGUAUAAUGGGUCAGCGACUUAUAUUCUGUAGCAAGGUUAACCGAAUAGGGGAGCCGGAGGGAAACCGAGUCUUAAUUGGGCGUUAAGUUGCAGGGUAUAGACCCGAAACCCGGUGAUCUAGCCAUGGGCAGGUUGAAGGUUGGGUAACACUAACUGGAGGACCGAACCGACUAAUGUUGAAAAAUUAGCGGAUGACCUGUGGCU
rnacentral:rRNA from 1 species